rnacentral:rRNA from 1 species
UGGAUCCAGACUUUGAUUAUGGCUCAGGAUGAACGCUAGCUACAGGCUUAACACAUGCAAGUCGAGGGGAAACGAUAGAGAAAGCUUGCUUUUUCUAGGCGUCGACCGGCGCACGGGUGAGUAACGCGUAUCCAACCUGCCCACCACUUGGGGAUAACCUUGCGAAAGUAAGACUAAUACCCAAUGAUAUCUCUAGAAGACAUCUGAAAGAGAUUAAAGAUUUAUCGGUGAUGGAUGGGGAUGCGUCUGAUUAGCUUGUUGGCGGGGUAACGGCCCACCAAGGCGACGAUCAGUAGGGGUUCUGAGAGGAAGGUCCCCCACAUUGGAACUGAGACACGGUCCAAACUCCUACGGGAGGCAGCAGUGAGGAAUAUUGGUCAAUGGACGAGAGUCUGAACCAGCCAAGUAGCGUGCAGGAUGACGGCCCUAUGGGUUGUAAACUGCUUUUAUAAGGGAAUAAAGUUAGUCUCGUGAGACUUUUUGCAUGUACCUUAUGAAUAAGGACCGGCUAAUUCCGUGCCAGCAGCCGCGGUAAUACGGAAGGUCCGGGCGUUAUCCGGAUUUAUUGGGUUUAAAGGGAGCGUAGGCCGGAGAUUAAGCGUGUUGUGAAAUGUAGACGCUCAACGUCUGCACUGCGGCGCGAACUGGGUUCCUUGAGUACGCACAAAGUGGGCGGAAUUCGUGGUGUAGCGGUGAAAUGCUUAGAUAUCACGAAGAACUCCGAUUGCGAAGGCAGCUCACUGGAGCGCAACUGACGCUGAAGCUCGAAAGUGCGGGUAUCGAUCAGGAUUAGAUACCCUGGUAGUCCGCACGGUAAACGAUGGAUGCCCGCUGUUGGUCUGAAUAGGUCAGCGGCCAAGCGAAAGCAUUAAGCAUCCCACCUGGGGAGUACGCCGGCAACGGUGCAACUCAAAUGAAUUGACGGA